CUGGCUCUUACCUGGGUCACACUGGGCCCUGAGCCUCUGCAAAAGCCGAUCCCUCCAAUCAUCCAUUGGCUGAAAACAUCACCUCAUUUAGGGCUGGCUGAUGUUGCUGCAAGAAGGGGAGCUAUACACAUAUGGGAUCAUUGCAUCAUAACCACCUAAAAGCACCCAAGAUGGACAUGGUCCAUGGAGUAACCCUUUAAUUUAUA